CGUGGAAAAUACGUCAACGUGCCACACGACCAGGGCAGAGGCAGUCGGUAUUGAUGCCGCUUUCAAAUACUAGUCUACUACUACUCGAAAAUGUCCGACUUGCUGAUUCGAUGUGGCACCUGUAUAACUACUGUUAGUACGUCGGAAAUUUCCGAGUUUCCUAGUUCCGACAGACGUGGUAUCAGAACGUAUACCAUGGGCUUAUCCUGGCAUGACGUUUUGAUAACCGCGCAAAUCUCUCUCGGACAAGAACUACACAUCCUGCCUCAAGCUUUGACGUCAUCACCCAAGGCACGUUGCUCCAUGCAAACUCAUCGCCAAGUAACAAGUAAACUACCAUGUAGAUACAUUAUUAUAGCCUUUGUAGUUUAUCGUGUAGUGUGUAUUUCUCGUGGUCUUGUUUAGUAUUCUUUUAAAUUAGCUAGCAACGUUUAGCAGUUUUUAAAAUUACUAGAUUUUCUACAUUUGUAUUGCCCUCUGGCCUUUUGUAGCGAACUAGCUAACCUUAGGUCUCCGUCGAUCAGAAGCAAGGAUGGUUCUGUGCUAUGUACCGGAUUGUAACCACUACUCCAAAAAGCACACACAUUGUAUUGUUUUCCGACCCCGAGAGACGUCGUUGGAGCAGUGUGAUAAGCAGAUUGAGGAUUCAAAACCUGCAGCUACUUGGUUCGCCCACAGCAUACCAUGGGUCAUCCUCAGUCAGUCUCAUCCUCCCCUGAAUGCAUGCUUCAGUAUCAGCAUCUCCAACUGGAGCAUCAAGCAAAGGCAUCAUGCCUGAAGCCUUCACCACAUCUGUAACAGACUUCUUAAAAUACGGCCAACAGGAGUGCACCACUCAGACCAUCCAGUGCAUGGACAUCCUGUGCCAGUGGUAUGAUAUGUGCCAGUGUGAUCCGAGCGCAACAGUCCAGUUGUAGAAUACAGCAGAUCGAGCCUGUGGACGGAGAGGUCAGUACUCAUCAAAUGUGAUACAAUGAAUUUGUAGAUAUAUCUGCACAGUAUGUUUGUGUAUGGUUCCCAUGAGUUAAGAUUGGGUGAUGAGGGACCACUUGUCACAUUGUCCAAGGUGAGUUUUGUGUUCUGAAAAACAAUGUGUUUUCUGUCCAGAUAAAGAUGGUGAUACAGCAUUGAAAAAGACCUACCACUGACCAAAUGUCUCUUUAGUUUUCCAGUCCAACAGGAGUGUAUCCUUCAGACCAUCCGGUGCAUAGACAUCCUGCGCCAGUGUGAUCUGAGCAUGAGCAUCCAGUUAUGGAGGAUACCAGUGGUGAAAAAAGUACUCAAUUGUCAUACUUGAGGAAAAGUAAAUAUACCUUAAUAGAAAAUGACUCAAGUGAAAGUCACCCAUUUUAAAUCUACUUGAGUGAAAGUCUAAAAGUAUUUGGUUUCAAAUAUACUUAAAGUAUCAAAAGUAAAUGUAAUUGCUCAAAUAUAAGUAUCAAAAGUAAGUCAUUUAAAAUUCCAUAUUAAGCAAACAAGACGGCAACAUUUUCUUAUUAUUUUAAUUUACGGAUAGCUAUGGGGCACGCUCCAACACUCAGACAUAAUUUACAAACAAAGCAUGUGUUUAGUGAGUCCGCCAGGAUCAGAGGCAGUAGGGUUGACAAGGAAUGUUCUCUUGGUGUGUGUGUGUGUGUGUGUGUGUGUGUGUGUGUGUGUGUGUGUGUGUGUGUGUGUGUGUGUGUGUGUGUGUGUGUGUGUGUGUGUGUGUGUGUGUGUGUGUGUGUGUGUGUGUGUGUGUGUGUGUGUGUGUGUGAAUUAGAUAAGUUUCCUGUCCUGCUAAGCAUUCAAAAUGUAACAAGGACUUUUGGGUGUCAGGGAAAAUGUAUGGAGUAAAAGUUGCAUGAUUUUCUUUAGGAAUGUAGUGAAGUAAAAGUUGUCAAAUAUAAAUAGUGGAUGGUCUUCAGAGGCUGUAAGACCCUCCCUCCUUGAUAUAGAAAUCAACUUCAAUGGUAAUGCCCCUGUGCCAUAAGGACACUUGACCUCUAACCACUGCAGUGGUGCUCACCAGACCAUCCAGUGAGGCUCCCAGGACCGAAAGCCCUGACUCCCACACAUCCAUCCCUGUAGCCAUUUUGAAUGCCUGAUGCCCUCCUCUUUAUGUGCCCCACUUUACAGACAACACCCCAUCCAUUGAGUGUGAUCUGAGGACCCUGCUCCACCGACAGCACCAUGCCAGCCUGGUUGCCUGCAUGCCCCAGGUGCCCUUGUUUUUGAACAAUGUCUGAUACAGGGAGGGUUGCGGUUGUUCUAGCUCAGGUCCAAGGAGACAUGUCAUUCCACUGAACCUUCCCUUGGGAUGGUUCCUUAGCCACUGAAGAUCCUCCUCUGUGGGCUCCCGGGACAGAGGAUUUGUAGUCUUCGGCCAGGUACCGUUCCUCCACUGACUGGGCCUGGCUGGCUUCCUCACACUCCACAUCCAUACAGCUGAUAUUGUGAACUGCCAAAAUAGGCUGCAUGGCUACACUUAUGAGCUCCAUGGAGGCAUUUGCAUGUGGUAGAGAAUUACCUGGUCACUUAUUAUAGAGACCUGACAAGCGGAAGGAUGUUGGAUGUUAAGUGCCACAUUCCUUUCUGUGCUUGACUUUGAACACCCUGAAAUGCAUUUGUUUUAAGGGUGCUAUAUAAGAAGUUUGACAUUACAACUGUAGAAUAUUUCAACUGUAAUUUUCACAAGGACAGUGCAGUUUUUCCAUAAACCUUUAAUUGAUAACUUGAUUUUCACUUGACAUAUCAGUCAGUGCAAAGGAUCCCAUAAUCAAGACUGAAUAAAUAAAUUGUUUUUGAAGCUU